UGAGGAAUAUUGGUCAAUGGACGAGAGUCUGAACCAGCCAAGUCGCGUGCAGGAAGAAUGUCCUAUGGAUUGUAAACUGCUUUUGCAGGGGAAUAAAGUGCAUCACGUGUGAUGUUUUGUAUGUACUCUGCGAAUAAGGAUCGGCUAACUCCGUGCCAGCAGCCGCGGUAAUACGGAGGAUCCGAGCGUUAUCCGGAUUUAUUGGGUUUAAAGGGUGCGCAGGCGGAAGAUUAAGUCGGCGGUGAAAUUUUGCAGCUCAACUGUAAAAGUGCCAUCGAUACUGGUUUUCUUGAGUGUGGAUGAAGUAGGCGGAAUUUGUGGUGUAGCGGUGAAAUGCAUAGAUAUCACGAGGAACUCCGAUUGCGCAGGCAGCUUACUAGGCCAUAACUGACGCUCAGGCACGAAGGCGUGGGGAUCAAACAGG
rnacentral:rRNA from 1 species